AUUGAACGCUGGCGGAAUGCUUUACACAUGCAAGUCGAACGGCAGCACGGGUGCUUGCACCUGGUGGCGAGUGGCGAACGGGUGAGUAAUGCGUCGGAACGUGCCGAGUAAUGGGGGAUAACGCAGCGAAAGUUGUGCUAAUACCGCAUACGCCCUGAGGGGGAAAGUGGGGGAUCGCAAGACCUCACGUUAUUCGAGCGGCCGACGUCUGAUUAGCUAGUUGGUGGGGUAAAGGCCUACCAAGGCGACGAUCAGUAGCGGGUCUGAGAGGAUGAUCCGCCACACUGGGACUGAGACACGGCCCAGACUCCUACGGGAGGCAGCAGUGGGGAAG
rnacentral:rRNA from 1 species